CGGCAUCAGCGUGCUCCGGGC
rnacentral:siRNA from 1 species